rnacentral:rRNA from 1 species
GACGAACGCUGGCGGCGUGCUUAACACAUGCAAGUCGAACGGUAAGGCCCUUCGGGGUACACGAGUGGCGAACGGGUGAGUAACACGUGGGUGAUCUGCCCUGCACUUCGGGGUAAGCCUGGGAAACUGGGUCUAAUACCGGAUAGGACCACUGCCUGCAUGGGUGGUGGUGGAAAGCUUUUGCGGUGUGGGAUGGGCCCGCGGCCUAUCAGCUUGUUGGUGGGGUGAUGGCCUACCAAGGCGACGACGGGUAGCCGGCCUGAGAGGGUGACAGGCCACACUGGGACUGAGAUACGGCCCAAACUCCUACGGGAGGCAGCAGUGGGGAAUAUUGCACAAUGGGCGCAAGCCUGAUGCAGCGACGCCGCGUGAGGGAUGACGGCCUUCGGGUUGUAAACCUCUUUCAGCACCGACGAAGCGCAAGUGACGGUAGGUGCAGAAGAAGGACCGGCCAACUACGUGCCAGCCGCCGCCGCGG